GACGAACGUUGGCGGCGUGCCUAACACAUGCAAGUCGAGCGAGUGGAGUUCUUCGGAACAAAGCUAGCGGCGGACGGGUGAGUAACACGUGGGCAACCUGCCUCAUAGAGGGGAAUAGCCUCCCGAAAGGGAGAUUACUACCGCAUAAGAUUGUAGCUUCGCAUGAAGUAGCAACUAAAGGGACAAUCCGCGAUGAGAUGGGCCCGCGGCGCAUUAGCUAGUUGGUGAGGUAACGGCUCAACAAGGCGACGAUGCGUGGCCGACCUGAGAGGGUGAUCGGCCACAUUGGGACUGAGACACGGGCCAGACUCCUACGGGAGGCAGCAGUGGGGAAUAUUGCACAAUGGGGGAAACCCUGAUGCAGCAACGCCGCGUGAGUGAUGACGGCCUUCGGGUUGUAAAGCUCUGUCUUCAGGGACGAUAAUGACGGUACCUGAGGAGGAAGCCACGGCUAACUACGUGCCAGCCGCCGCAGUAA
rnacentral:rRNA from 1 species